rnacentral:rRNA from 1 species
CCUACGGGAGGCAGCAGUGAGGAAUAUUGGUCAAUGGCCGGAAGGCUGAACCAGCCAAGCCGCGUGAAGGACGAAGGUGCCAAGCAUUGUAAACCUCUUUUGUCAAGGGACAAAAUCAGCCUCGAGUGGCUGACCGAGGGUACUUGAAGAAAAAGCAUCGGCUAACUCCGUGCCAGCAGCCGCGGUAAUACGGAGGAUGCGAGCGUUAUCCGGAUUUAUUGGGUUUAAAGGGUGCGUAGGCGGGCGAGUAAGUCAGCGGUAAAAGCCAGGGGCUCAACCCCGGCGAGCCGUUGAAACUGGCUGUCUUGAGAGAGCGAGAAGUAUGCGGAAGGCGCGGUGUAGCGGUGAAAUGCAUAGAUAUCGCGCAGAACUCCGAUUGCGAAGGCAGCAUACCGGCGCCCAUCUGACGCUGAGGCACGAAAGCGUGGGUAUCGAACAGGAUUAGAUACCCCAGUAGUC